AUUCCUGUGAUGUAGGUAACAAAGAGACGUGCGUGUCCCUUUGGUAGACAAGGAAACUAUUGCUUCAGCGCGGACCUGCCCAAAGUUGCGGCGCGGGGAUGGUGUGGAGCCAGGACUUGACCUCAGGUCUGCGGCUCUAAUCCACGGUCCCUUCCACGCCAUCAUGAGGUGCUGACUUGCACAGAUUGGGAGAACUAUGAACUCACGUAAAGUCUGAAGGAGCUGGAAGAGGAGGAGUGAUGUGAAGAUGCCUGGGAGGUGGCAUCAUGGUGGAACAAGACCCCGAGGAGCCGAAGGGAAGAACGGUAGGUCCCGGUGGGAUACGUCCCUCAGCUUAACAGAAAGGAAGGAAGAAAGGAUGGACACGCAGGCUGGUGCCAGUCUAGGAGUGAGAACUACAGCGGAGAACAAAGUCCCUGAUCUCUUUGAGGUUACAUCUGCUGAAGGAGACAGAUAAUAAACAAUUAAAUAAGUAAAAUAUAGUGUACAUUAGAUGAUAGGUGCUAAAGAAGAAUUAAAAAAAAACAGGCAGAGGGAGUGGAAGUUUGGGCGGGGGCUGGAAGAGCAGUUGAAAUUUCAGACAGAUUCCAGGAAACACUUGGCUGAAAAGUGAGUGAAGACUUGAAGGAAGUGAGAGAGGGAGCCCCGUCUGUGGCGUGGCUGGCAGAACUCUAAGACGACCCCAUGGCACCACCUGCCUCUUAGUUUGAUUUCCAUGAUGAUGUUAUAUUACAUGGCAAAAGUAGACACUGACCUUAAUAUAGAGACAUUAUGCAUGUGGGCCUAACCCAGUCACACGAGCCCCAUAAAAGCAGAGUUUUCUCCAGUUGGAGGCAAAAGAGAAUGUGAGGAACAACCGAAGGAGGUUCUCCAGUGCUGAGAUGGAGGGGGCCACAUGGAAGGACCUGGGAGAACCCUCUAGAGAUGAGAGUGAACCCCAGCCUACAGCCAGCAAGAUGAUGAAAAACCUCAGUCCUACAACUGCAAAAUACUGAAUUCUGCCAAUGACCUGAAGGAGCCUGGAAACAAGGCUCUUCCCAGAGCCCCCUGAUACGAGUCCAGCUGGCCUUCACCUUGAUUUCAGUGUGUAUGGAGCUAACUGAGCCAAGUGUAGAGGAGUGAAGACACAGUGGAAUGAAGAUUUCUCUCCAUUUGUUUCCUCAGAGCGUUUCCUUUCGUAGGAGGCACCGUUGCUUAUUGAGUUACUGACAGGACCAGUGAUUCAUCUUAGACCAUGUUGAUUCCAUUGACCAUUUUGCAAUGAACAGAGGGAGAGGUUGAAGACAGCAGAAGAGACCGAGAUAACCAAGGAACUGAAGUCCCCAUGAAGGUGAGCAGGGAAGGCAGGAGCCCAGACAGAAUGGUUGGUCCUGAACAGGAAUAGAUGGCUUCAGUGAGGGAAAAGGGUGAGGGUAUGUGAACAUGAAUUAAGAGCGUGGGGUCAGGAGAGGUACGGAAGAGGAAGCUAAAGCCAAUGCUGACAGCUCAGCCACAUGAGCAACUUUGAAAAUCUGUUUUGUUAUACCUACACAUGCUUUCUUUUAAAUCUUCUUUCUUUAAUAUAAAAUAUAUUCAUGCUCUGUGUAGAAAACUGGGGAAACACAGGAAAAUACAAAAAAGAAAAUUAUAAUUUCCUUUAUGUCCCCUUUGUACUUUCCCAUUUUCAGUCAAUAUUAUACCCUGAGAAUUCCCCUGUCUUUAAUAUUCAUUUAAAGCGUAAUUUAAUGUCUAUAAAUUUUUCCAUUAUAUUUAAUUGUCUUAACUAUCCCUUUAUGCUCAGAUAUUUAGAUUAUCUUUUUUCAUUCUACUAUAAAUAUUUUAGGAAUAUCCUUAUCUAAAACUCUUUGCACAGCUGAUAAUUCACUGGAGUACAUUUUGACAAGUGGAAUUACUGGGUCAAAGGGUGUGAACUGUUUUAGGCAUUAUAAGCUAUCUAGCCUGAUUGAUUUUCAAAAAUGUAUCUCUAUUUAUAUUCCAAAUGAGGAUCCAUCUGAUGAUAUCUUCAUUAGCAUAGGAUAUUUUAAAAACUCUUGCUAAUUUGGUAAGUUAAAAUUAAUCAAUUGCUCAUUGGGUUUUUUUUUGUUGUUGUCAGUGGAGAUGAACUUGUUUUUAUAUUUCUACUCCCAUCUCCAUUUCUUCUACUCUUUCUUCCCAUACUGAGCAAGUUUGGAUUAUAUCAUGGACACUGUACUGUUACAUUGUAAAGACUCUGGAUUCUUCUCUGUUUCUCCAAAAAGUGUUGACCUCCUUAUGUAGGCAAUUAACAUGCCUCAAAAUACAAACUCUCUCUUGGGUAGAAACUCAAAUCUCAGUUCAGUUAUUUAGCUUUAACUAUUCUGCUUGUAAUCUGUUUCAUGCAUGCAUGGCGUAAGAGUCAACCAGAUAUCUGGAUAGAAUCAUGCACAGAAUGCAGGGCUUCCUUCCCACUCUGGUUCUCUCAUUUCCAGUAGUCACCCUGCCCCUCACUUUCUAGCACCCAUGGUUGCUCCCAAAUCAGUUCCAGCUUUUAAAUCUGUUUUAGCCAACCUGAAUGGCGCAGACUAAAGCCUGCCUUCCAGCUAAAAUACACACACACAUACACAGACAUACACACGCACACACCCAUGGGAGAAAACCACCAAGUGCCAUUCCCUUUUUCCAAAUAAUUGACUUUCCUUCAAAAUGUGCUUGUGUCUGUUCACUCUUAAACCUUUAGAUUGUUAUUUUUAUAUGUUAUUGUGAUUAAAGUUGUUAUCUGCAGAAGAGUUAGCUUCAUAUGAGUUUACUUGGCCACUACUGAGAAGAAAAUCUCCAGGACUAUAGAUAAUUAAUUUUCACUUCUACAAAGGGUUUUUUUCCUCUUUUUUAAAAACAAAAUGUAAUUCCCAAGUACAUCUCAAGAAAGGUAAGUUUCUCAGAAUUCCAGUCUUCCUCUUUGAACAUAUUGGGGGAAUGUUUCCUACAAAAGUUGCUCCUGGUAACUGGAGCUGUCUAGUUAGCUUCAAACAUCCACAGAAAACUGCACCUGAGCUCAUACUGAACACGGUAACAAUGGCACCAGGGGAUGGAGUGCCCAGAAACCAAUUAAGGCUGUGGUAAAGAAGGGGUUUUCUUCAAUGGCUAAUGGAGACCAUAAACAGAGGCUCUGACCACAGAGAAUUUGAUGCUGGCCACCCUUUCUCCUUAAGUUUGAACAAAGAUCAGUGACCAAGAGGCCUAAUCUAAUAUAAGCCCCAGAUAACUUUCGUGUUUGUAUUACUUCAUGCUUAGCAACAAUCGCUCAGUUAUGACUCCCUGGCACAAGGAAAUAUGACACUGCAACAACAAGGUAUUUGUUAAGAUCCCCACGUUCCUUUUCAUCUUACAAGGAUGUUAGAACUUACCUGUUUUAACCCAUCAUUCUACUUAUCAGAAACCCACAGUUUAAAAUAGGGAAGACCCACCCAGGAUAACACAGGAAGGAGCGGAGCUGCCAUUAGCAUGCUGUUACAGCAUCUCUCAUUUUGCAGUCUGACUCUCAGCAACACAUUUAAGGUUUCAGAGAUGCUGCUACAUGGUGUGUCCUCAACCUUUCUUAAGGCUAAACUGUAAAGUGUUCUGAGUGGAAGAAAACAGUCUGCUCGGUGAUGCAAUCACAAUCUCCUGAAUUCAGCAAGAUGACAGUGUGAUCACUGCAUUUAAUGGUUGGCUGUUCUCCAAAAUCAGGUUGGCAGGAUGCUCUGGACCUGGAAAUGUGGGAGAUGUCAGGGAAAGAACUGAAUUUCAGAGUCAGACAGACAUGAACUCAAAUCUUCACUCCACUGCUUACAAGCUAUGUGACCCUGAGAAAGCCAGAUGAAGAAACAGAUGUAGCGAGGCCAAGUAAUCUGCCCAAGGUCAAGUGAGUGACAAGGCUUGGACUCCCACUCGGCUGUGUUUGACUCGGGAGCCUGAGCUCUUAACCACGCAUUGUUCUGUCUCAUGCUGCCCUGCGCGCCCUCAUAAUACCCCGAGGAGAAGACUCAACAUGAAAUAGCAUUUGGCUGCAUUCCAAUCAGUCAACACAUUCAUCACCAGCCACACAAAGAGAGCAGGUAGGCUGGAUUCCCUGUGCUGAACAAAACAAUUCAGGCAAAUGCAGGCACUGACCUCUAACUCGAUUUGGAGAUUUAGCAUCUCUAUCUUGAAGACUUCCCUAACAUCUCAGCUGCUCUGUUUCAUGGGACCUUUUGUUGAUGGGGUCAAGAGGGGUCAAAGGGAAUUUAUCUUUUUAGUUUUUGUGUUCUUUUAUGAAAAAAAUUACUUAACCAUCAUGGUUCUGGAGUUAUUUCUCAUUGGCAGAAUUGUGGAGCUGUGUACUGAUUCAGAGAAGUGUCGGGAUGCUGGGCACAGAUGGCUUUAAUUAUUUGGGCAGCCACUGACAGAUGUGACGGUCUAGGUUUCUGCUGCCUGGACAGGUGUAAGCUAUAGGAUUUACCCAGAGGGAGUUGUGGACAGCCAGAACUGGAUAGAGCCCUGAGAUGGCCCUUUAUUUUGUCUUAAUCCACCCCUAGGUACAUAGUUAUCAUAUUUCUUUGCCUCAAGGCACAGUCAAGUCAGUCAAAACCAUCAAACCAAGUUUGUGUGCAGAAAGAAAAUCUCAAAGAGAGAAGUACACUGUUAGCAACUGGUCCCAAACUCUGCUCAGUGUUUUUACACAGAUGCCUUUCUUCUCAUUAAUUAUGGCUUCAUAAUCAAAAGGAGAUAUGUGUAUCCCUCCUUCUGGAUCAAAACAAGGAUAUUUCCUUCUCCAAUUAGAAUCCACAUGAAUAAUUUCCAAACACUGAGUGUCAGUCUGUGAAAACUUUCAUUAUUUUGUUCAGCAAGUUUAUUGAGCAAGUGAUGGAAAACCCGGAGAGAAAGCAGAUAUGCUCCCUGCUUUUAAAGAGCUGGGGAGUAUUCCGAGGGAGUUUCCAAAGCUUUGAGCCAAUUAGAAUAAGAGACUCAGCACAUAUCAUGUCAAGGCAUUAUUUCAUGUUCUGGGGAUGCAUUGGUGAUCAAAAUAGCCCCUUUCAGGAACCCUCCUACACUGCUGCUGAAAAUGUAGUUUGGUGCAGCCAUUAUGGAAAACAGUAUGGAGAUUCCUCAAAAGAUGAAAAAUAG